GAACGAACGCUGGCGGCAUGCCUAACACAUGCAAGUCGAACGAGACCUUCGGGUCUAGUGGCGCACGGGUGCGUAACGCGUGGGAAUCUACCCUUGGGUUCGGAAUAACUCAGAGAAAUUUGAGCUAAUACCGGAUGAUGUCGAAAGACCAAAGAUUUAUCGCCCAAGGAUGAGCCCGCGUAGGAUUAGCUAGUUGGUGAGGUAAAGGCUCACCAAGGCAACGAUCCUUAGCUGGUCUGAGAGGAUGAUCAGCCACACUGGGACUGAGACACGGCCCAGACUCCUACGGGAGGCAGCAGUGGGGAAUAUUGGACAAUGGGCGAAAGCCUGAUCCAGCAAUGCCGCGUGAGUGAUGAAGGCCUUAGGGUUGUAAAGCUCUUUUGCCCGGGAUGAUAAUGACAGUACCGGGAGAAUAAGCCCCGGCUAACUCCGUG
rnacentral:rRNA from 1 species